GGAAUGUCAUGACAGACCUUCAAAGAACAAGCGGGCUAGCGAAGAGGAGGAGCGUAUUGGGGAUGAAGAGGACAUAGUACCACACUCUAAGAAAAAGACAGCUGCUGAAUUUAGAAAACACCUGGACGAAUAGAUGUGGGAGAGAAGGAAACUCAACCAAAUGCAAAUCAAUUUGCAGGAGUUGAGAAAUGAGGUCCAAUCUCUUAAAAAUGAAAAUGCACGUCUGAAAGACAUUAUAAUCAAUCAAAUCCCUCAAAUGAAAAGUGACCUCGCCAUUAUUGCUCAAAAGACUGGAAGGACUCCUGUGGAGGAUCUUGAUUCCUCCUCCUCGGCUUUUGGAGAAUUGCAACCGACUCCAGAGAGGAGACCAAGUCCCGAGGAGACUGAGCCCUUUAAAGAGAGUCCCAUGGUAACAGAGUCCUUUCGAGAGACACCAGAGGUGUGUGUUACGCUUUUAUGCCUCCGUUUUUUCGGUACUUAUUUUACUUAAGGCUCCAACUGAGCUAUAGGGAUUUUUUUUGUUUGGAUAGUAGUGGUAAUAUGUAAUUUACUUACCCCAUAUGCAUAAAAUUGUUAAAGAGUUUAACAAAGUUUUUUUUCUCUAACAAGACUGCAGCAACCGCUGAGACCUCAGCGAAAACACAGAUUGAAGUCAUAAAGGGCUCUGGGGUGUUUUGCCAGGCAGAAGCGUGGAAAGCAGCCCGCCUUGCCAACUCUGCUACUGCCAUGGUGCGGAAUCUGCUGCUGGGCACCUUUGAUAUGGAGACUUUGCUGAAAAGCAACCUGAAUGGUGGGAAGCCAACCAGAGGGGAUGGGGAGCAGCUGGUCGCCCUUGACAAAAUUAAAAAGGCAGCCAUUAUUGGCAACAAUGGAGACUGCAUAAGAUGCUACAUUGAAGAAGUGGCCGGCAGCCAGCCGAGGGCAGAUAGGCACAUCUAUUAAUGCGAAGCUCACGGAGCUGAGAAGAGCAACAAGAUAAUUUUUUUAUGUAUAAUUUUUGUUUAGUUUUUUUGUCUUAUUUUUGUUCUUGUACUAUAUUUUUGUUCUUGUACUAUUUGAUUGUUCUUGAGUAAAUACAUAAUGUACAUUUCUAUAUUUUGGACUUUUAUUUAUGUUACCUAGCAGAUUUUUAUCUUAUUUUUGUUCUUGUACUAUAUUUUUGGUACGAUUUCAUUGAUUUAAAGUAAAUAAAUAAUGUUAAUUUCUAAAUUUUUGGACUUUUAUUUAUGUUGCCUAGCAGCUAUGGAUUUUAAUUUUACUAU